GCUGGUUCUUCCAGGAGCGCGCAUGAGCGGACGCUGCCUACUGGUGGCCGGGCGGGAUGUAACCGGCUGCUGAGCUGGCAGUUCUGUGUCGCUAGGCUUCUGCCCGGCCGCCGCCGCACAUAAGCCACGAGGAGGAGCUUUACGACUUCCCGGUCUUCGGCGCCGGGCGCAGCAAGGGCCAGACUCUGCGCUAGCAGGCGCUGCGCGCCAACCGGCCGGCACCUGUCGCAGAAGGUGCAACCGAUCGCACUGUCGCGCAGAAGCUCCUCAAUGGCCAGCGCCAGCUGCAGCCCCGGCCGCCCACUCGCCUCAUCUGAGCCUGGGCAAAUCUGGAUUGGGAAAGUUGACAUUAAUCAACUCAUUAUUCCUCACAGAUUUGUAUUCUCCAGAGUAUCCAGGUCCUUCUCAGAGAAUUAAAAAGCCUGUACAGGUCUAGAUAUUGGUAUUUUUAAUUGAUGAUAAGCUGGAAUAAUAUUAAUACACACAAAGCACGUGUUGUAACUUUCAUUAUGCUUCCUUAGAGCUCUGUUCACGGAAAGGGCCUGGGAGCUGCAACACCUCAACAGCAACAAGCACACCUGCUACCUAGAACUUGGUUUCUAAAAACCAUCCUCCUCUAAAAGGAAACAGAGCUCUUUGAAGAAACGGUGAGACAGUCAACAAACCUCUAACCACCGACCUUUUCUCCUCUGCCCUCCACUCACACUCUGCUCCAUCACCCUCAGCCACACAGCUGACGCUGUAGAGAUUCACUGACAUCCAGUCUGAUGGACACUGUUUCUCCAGCCGAAACUGCUCAUGAGAACAUGUGCAGUGAAGUGCUCCAGAGGCCCCAGCAUGCUACAUUACAGAAGACUGAACUCAGGAGAGAUGAGGAAUAAUCCCCUCCAUCACACCAGACACCAGGAGGGUGUGCCAAGGUAUUCUAAUAAUACUGCGUGACAUUACGGACAACUUAGCCUAAAUUAUGGAAAAUCAAAUUAUUUAGUAGAACUGCAAGACAAUCCUCUCAGUUGUUGUAAGGUAACUUUGCUGAACUUGUGAAGAAUGGUGUGCAAGGUCCAGAGCGACUGCAGGAGAGGGAAGGUGGGAUUCCCACAGAGCAGGAGCACAGAUAAGCCAAGCAAGGCCCUGCUUGGAAGGCAGCAAUCAACAGAGAUGCACAGACCUGUGAGGGUGCCGGGACAGCCAUGCAACAAUGCAGCCCUUUUGCUUCCUGAGCUCACCAGUUCCCUCGCUCCACCUCUGAGAGGUGGUUUGGAGAAACACAGCCCUUCUCAAGAGGGCUGCAAGCUACUUAAGUCCUGAAAAUUUCCACAAGGCUGAGUCAAAUCUGCGUUUCAUCAUCUAUAAGAAAGGUACCUAUCGAGAACACCCUGCUGGCCAGUGUGUAAAUAUCUAAAGGAGGACUCAGAAAACACCGGGGAAGUCCAGCCUGCACGUGGUGGCUGGGCUUCAGUGAAGCAUGCAGCACAACAGGAGUUAGCAGACCACAAAGAGCAUGUCUGGACCUAGAACCACAGCAUGUAACCUCGGAAGCAGUGAGACACCAGCCAGCAUGGACAAGCAGCAGGCACUUGCUCUAUACC
rnacentral:lncRNA from 1 species